rnacentral:lncRNA from 1 species
CUCACAGACAUCCUUCUCCAGCAUCUUCAUAUCUCCUGCCUCAUGCUGAUCUGCAUCUCCAGUUCUUUUUCAACAUCCAGUGCUCAUUUGGGUAUGCUGGCAUCUUUGAGUGACGAGAAAUAAACUGCUCAAGUGCAUGGUAGCAACAAUGAGCUGCUCUACUUGUAACUGAAAUCACGCUGCACUGGAGUCGAUAAACCAGUAAGGAUCUGUUCUCUGAUGAGACUGACAGAAAUCAAACUGCUGAUUGAGCCUGCACUAACAAGAUUGGACUAGCCAUUGCUGCUUGGAUCACCAUCAUUACAAAGGUAGCAAUAUGUCCCACAACUUAGAUUGGAACUCUGUCUACAGUUUUCCAGGUUACAGUUUUACAGUUCUAAUCCAAUCAUCUGAUGCUAUCCACAUCACUAUAAACUUUAAAAUUAAUCUCCAUAUAUAUUUUUUUACUUUCCAGAUUAUUUUCUGACAAUAGUGCACAAUUUAUUGAAAAAGCCAUUCAACCCUGAGUCCUUUGACAGGCCUUCCAUGAUCGCUAAAAUACACUGGCAUCUGGCAUUGUUGAAUAUUGGAAUGGUCUCCUUAAUAUCACUCAAAAAAUAUUUCUGACUCUACAUCCAUUAUCUCUUAUUGGUCUAAACACCUUAGUAAUAUGAUUUUGUCAGUGGAUGUCACUGUACCUGGAAAGGGUUCAUCUCUUCUCUUUCCUGGUGAUGAUCAGACAUCAAUUAAAG